UGCCAGGUGAUUGAAGGAAAAGCAUGGCUUCUGCUAUGUGCUCCCACCCAAACUGAUACUGGUGGCCAUGGAUGCCCAUUGAUAUAUGCCUUAAGGUCCAGAACCAUGUUCUCAAUUACUGGCACAGUUUUGUCUCACUAGGCUGACCUCAAAGUUUCAGUCUAGUAUAACAAUGAGCAUAGCUCAUGACUUCCAUAAAAUCCUUUACUUACCCUUGAAGUACUUGGCCUCAAAGAGUAGUUC
rnacentral:lncRNA from 1 species